CAGGGCUUUUAUAUGCACUUAUCUGGGCAAGUAUAAGAUUAUCAUCUGUCUCCUCCACAGGAUGGCUCUCUAAUUACCAUAAUGGAUGUUGCUGAGAAACUACGAGCUCUUCUGGCCAAGCUGCCGCCUGCAGAAGGAGACCGGCCCCGGCUGCUCAGCGAUUAGAGCUGGCGGAACUGCUCCUGCGGGCAGCGCUCCAGAGAGGCACCGCCUCUCCAGCUUCUCUACAGCAGAAGCGGGUGGCACCUAGGAACCCUGCGGGACACUUGUGAAGAUCACUUCUUAAGACAACCUCUGACUUGAAAUGAGAAUUCAUAAUCCUUUACUUGCUGACACAGACAGAAACAUUGGUGAUGCAGAUCUUACCAAAGUCACGACACACGAAGGAAACGACUCCAGGAAAGCUUGAACUAGUGCCAUUUCUAAAUUGCACUUCUAAAUAUUGACUUCAUGGCGAGACUCAAAGUGUCAUAACACAGCUCACUGGAGGAAUGAAGAUUUUCCAGACCUCAUCCAGAGGUCUGCACAACGUCCUCUGGGAAGUGGAGAAGGAAGAGGAGGAUUUGAGAAGAAAAAUAAAAUCAAGUCAUGUUUAGAAGAAACGCCAUCGCACUUCACUUAAUCUUGCAGAGACAAAUGAACACUCAUGGGGCAAUUAGCUGUGGAGGGGCUGGAGGGGACUGAGAUGGGAGGGAGAAAGGAAAACAGUGACCAUUAAUCCCUCAGCUGAUGGCCAAGAAGAAUGGAGGGUGUGAGAAAGAGCCCUUCAGAAACACCUAGCUCUCUGAGAGCCUUUAUUUGGGUUUCCGGCUGAGAAGGACUGGACAGUGUCUGGAAAACAAGAAACUUUUCAUCCAACUUCUGUCAAGACUUCAACA